AUUUCAUUUUAUUUUUACACUGUUUAAAUUUGUAUUGUUUCAGGAAAUCUCAAUACUCUUUGCUCAGAUUAGUGUGUGUUUUAUCAGUUGGUCUUGUUAGGCAUUCUCUGUAAGCCACAGGAAGAGGUUUGAAAGGGUGCGCUGCAGUGGGUUGUUGGGUCUAUAACCAGGGUGAUGAUCUCAGUCACUAAGAAGGAAAGGGCUCUCAGAUUCUCAUAUUUGUAGAAGCAAAGCAGAUUAGCGUCCUCACGCAAGUAGGACAACAAUGCCCCACCCUUGAAUGUAAGCUGCAGCCUCACCCAACAUCUCACUUUUUUCUCACUUUAAUUCGGAAGCACAGCCAUGUGUACAUUUCUAUGAGCUGUGCUGUACCAUACACACAGCUGUGCCAUGCACACAGGUGUGCUACACGGGGAGGUGUGCCACACCUGCAUGCUUUUAGUCCCCCCAUGAUGCCUUGUGAGGCCAACUGCUUGCAUAGUUACCAGUUACCAUCAUGCUUAGCGUGCUGGCUUCUCCAUGCUCAUUGUGUGCUCCCAUUCCAGAGGUGUCCGACCUCUGACCUCUCGUACGACCUCUCUGCCCCACAGCUUCCUGCUGUGUGAGCAAAGGAAGUGGCAUCACUAGCGUCGCUAUUGCGUGGUUGUUCAGCCAUGAGUUGACAUGCUGGCAAAGCCCAUGCAGCUGGUUUUACUGCUAGCACGAAUCACACUGACCCAAUGGCCAAUGGAAUCUGACCAGUACUGCCCCCUGCCCUUGCCUCAGGCUUUACCAAGGUUUCACUUGCCAUGAUGUUCACUUUAUCCAAUGAAAGCUGGAGAACAUCGCAGCCCAAAUCAAAAGGUCUGACUGCUUGUGUGACCAGAAUUAAGCAGUGUAACUCAGCAAAAACAAUUAGAUGAUAAAUGCAGAUCCUGUUUGGCAUAUUGUAGAAUUAGAAGAAGCUGUAGAACCUCUCACCAGAAAUGUGUGCCGUGAUCUCCAGCUUUUAUAAGAUGUGGAACGCUUUAUAGCAUGAAAAGUAGGAAAUCUUGGUGAAUAAGUGGUGGGUGUAACUGUGUCAAUGAUUUGCUUUCUCUUCAUGACUCCUGAAGAAAUGGGAACAAGUGGGAUUAGAUUUAUAGUCUUCAUUAUCCCAGUCUCGCCUGUCUAUAAGGUGUGUGCCUUGUCCAGAUUGACACCUGAGUGUCAAUGGCAGUUUAAAUUCAGUGAAAUGUCAACACUGUUCCACCAGUUACAGAAGCAGAAUACAACCCAAAAUCAGAGCGUGCCCUAUAUCAUGCCCCCCCUCCGCCCCCACGCCCUCGUUGUUCCGAUCAUCCACUUCUCUCGAGUGUCUAGUGUUCCUCACACACCAUGUCAACAUGGAAUCCACAAGGGACAGUACAGCAUGUGACACGUAAUGUUCUCACAAUGUUCUUGUAGCUUUAUACCAGUCUCACAGAGAUAGUGGGAAUGCUGGUGGUGGUCUGAAGGAUAAACCUGCUGUCCACUACAGCCUGCAGGGGGCGUCUUGCUCACAGAGAGCUUGUGCACAUUGGGUUGCGUGUGAGUGAAUGUGUGUGCAUGCAAAUGUGUAUGUGUGAGUAAUUAUAAGUCCAGGUGAAACGGACAGUGUGUCUGAGUGCUUUCUUUAAUUACUAAACAGAAAACAGAAGAGGGAGGGCUAAUUUAAAAAGUGCAGUGAGACACAGUGAAUGCAGUGAGAUGCUGCAGUAAAGUUCGGAAAAUGAGCAAUGAGAACAGUAAAAAAACAGUAAAGUGCAGUGAAGAACAGUAAAGUGCAGGGAAAUUACAUGAAGAACAGUAAAGUGCAGUGAAGUUCAAUGAUGACCAGUAAAGUGCAGUGAGAUUAAUUCAGUGAAGAACAGUAAAGUGCAGUGAAAUUCAGUGGAAAAACAGUAAAGUACAGUGAAGUUCAAUGAAGAAUAGUGAAGUGCUAUGAGAUUAAUUCUGUGAAGAACGGUGAAGUUCAGUGAAGAACAGUAAAGUGCCGUGAAGCUCAGUGAAGAACAGUAAAGUGCAGUGAGGCUAAGUGAAGAACAGUAAAGUACAGUGAGAUUCAGUGAAGAACAGUAAAGUACAAUGAGAUUCAGUGAAGAACAGUAAAGUACAGUGAAAUUCAGUAAAGAACAGUAAAGUUCAGUGAGAUUCAGUGAAGAACAGUAAAGUACAGUGAGAUUCAGAAAACAACAGUAAAGUGCAGUGAGAUUCAGUGAAGAAGAGUAACGUACAGUGAGAUUCAGUGAAGAACAGUAAAGUACAGUGAGAUUCAGUGAAGAAAAGUAAAGUGCAGUGAAGUUCAGUGAGGUCCAUUAAGUGCUGGGAGGUGAGGUCUGUAACUGCAGUUUCAGUCAGUAUGAGUAUUCUAUCCUUCUCCACACAGCCUUUCAGAACCUUCAGUCCUUCCCAUCAACAUUUCCUUUACUCUAACACAAUUGUCUCUUUCUGAAAAGGUAUAUCCAUAUGAAAUGCUCACCAUCACCAGCAGAGGGCGGGCUAAGCUCCCUAGGGAUGUGGACAGAACCAGACUGGAGCGUCACUUGGCCCCAGAGAUGUUCUUUGAUAUAUUUGGAAUGGAGAUUCAGGAGUUUGACCGACUCCCUCUGUGGAAACGUAAUGAUAUGAAGAAAAAAGCCAAGCUGUUCUAACCUCCAUUACAUUCACCAUGCAUGAUUUACUUUA